GACGAACGCUGGCGGCGUGCUUAACACAUGCAAGUCGAACGAUGAAGCCUAGCUUGCUAGGUGGAGUAGUGGCGAACGGGUGAGUAAUACGUGAGUAACCUACCUUUAACUCUGGGAUAAGCCUGGGAAACUGGGUCUAAUACCGGAUACGACCAAUCUCCGCAUGGGGUGUUGGUGGAAAGCGUUAUGUAGUGGUUAUAGAUGGGCUCACGGCCUAUCAGCUUGUUGGUGAGGUAACGGCUCACCAAGGCGACGACGGGUAGCCGGCCUGAGAGGGUGACCGGCCACACUGGGACUGAGACACGGCCCAGACUCCUACGGGAGGCAGCAGUGGGGAAUAUUGCACAAUGGGCGCAAGCCUGAUGCAGCGACGCCGCGUGAGGGAUGACGGCCUUCGGGUUGUAAACCUCUGUUAGCAGGGAAGAAGAGAAAUUGACGGUACCUGCAGAGAAAGCGCCGGCUAACUACGUG
rnacentral:rRNA from 1 species